GUGAGUCAUCGAAUCUUUGAACGCACCUUGCGCCCUUUGGCUAUUCCGAAGGGCAUGCCUGUUUGAGUAUCAUGAACAACUCAACUCUCACGGCUCGCCGCGAUGAGCUUGGACUUGGGGGUUUUGCUGGCAUGCAGCCGGCUCCUCUCAAAUGAAUCAGCUUACCAGUCUUUGGUGGCGUCACGGGUGUGAUAACUAUCUACGCUUGUGGUUUCCCAUCAGGUAACCUUCAGCGAUGGAGGUUCACCGGGGCUUAUAAACAUCUCUCCUCAGUGAGGACAGAUUUUGACCGUUUGAUCUCAAAUCAGGUAGGACUACCCGCUGAACUUAAGCAUAUCAAUAAGCGGAGG
rnacentral:rRNA from 1 species